UCGGCGGUUCAUAGCAUCCUUAGCAAUGCCUGCAUACUAUUUCAUUUAAUGCACUAUAAUGUUUUAAUCAAUAUCUCUCAGGUGGACACUUAAGUUGUUUCUAUGCUGCCCAUUUAGCAUUUGAUAGCUGCCAGAUUGCUUUGUAUCUCAGUUAUGUGUCCCAUUAUCUUGUCUGCACUAGCUUUGGUAGUCCAGGAACUGCAUCCUCUUUCUGCCCCUUCUCUUGGUUUCUUGCGUUUUGGCCACUAGAUGGCAGUAUUGCAUAGUAUCCCCCCGCAGUUCCAGGCCACUCCAGCCUCAGGGCUGGGAACCCAUGAGAAGGGCACCUGCCUCCCAACUGUGACUUCUACCUGGAACAGGACAGGACAGCUUUCCGCAGAGACCCAUGGCCAAGUAAAGCACAUGGACAGAUUUGGCCCUUGAGCCAAUACUUUGGAGCCUCUGCUUCAGGUCCUUGUUGAGCGUGCUGUGGUUGGUGUAGUCGCCGAUGGCAAUGUAGUUUUUGGCAGCCAUGAUGGCAGCAUUGCCAUUCAUUUAUUUAUCUGCUGCCUGUUAAAGCGUCUUGACCUCUACAUAUUGAAGGCUUGCUGAAGAAAUCAAGUGUGUUUAAAACAUGACUUGCAGAUUUUUUGACACUCCUUCCAUCAAAAUGCAGGACAUAACAUAGACCCUCCUUCCACUUGAAUUCGGACCUUGUGGUUGCUUCGCCAAUAUACAGCAGAAGUGACACGGCCAGUUUCUGGGACACAGGCUAUUGGGACCCAGCCAGUCUGCCCUGAGGAAACCCAAGCAGCUCAUGAAGAGGCCCUGCAGAGAAGAACCAAGACCAUACCCUCAGCCCCAGCCGAGCACCCUGCAACAGCCAGCACCAACUUGGCAUCUGUAAGUCAUCUUGGAAAUGGAUCUUCCAGGCGCCCCCGUCAAGCGACCCCAGCUGACACUACAUGGAACAGAGACCAGUCUUGCCUUCUAAGUCUUGUCUGAACUGCAGAUUAAUGAGCAAAACAAAUAACUCUUUUUAAAAGCGACUAAGUAUUGGGGUUGUUUGUUUCAUAGCAAUAAAUAACUGGAACAUGGAGUCCUGGCUCCCUCAGGCACUGGCUCUAGGAUCUCAGGUCGUUUUCCUCCCUGGACCUCAGUUUCCUUACUGAAGAAGGAAGGUGUGGUGUGCCACUGAGUGCUCGUGUGAAUGUGGAUGGUGCCGUACCUGACAUGCAACUGUGGGACCGAGAAGUGGCAUCCCCACCUUAGAAAGCAGUCAGGUACCAUCUGGGGAAGCCAUGAUGCUCAGACCCUGCACCCCAGUCAUUUCACCCCUCGGCCCAUGUUUGCACCCAGGACAGCUGAAUUGUGAGGGCAAGCAGUUAGAAACAGUCUAGCGGUCCAUCAAUGGGAAAGGGGUUUAAUGAAUCAAGGUUUCUUUGUAGACUGUCUGUGAACGGAUUAGAGCUCUGCGGAGCCAUGUGGAGCAACCUCACUAACUGAUGUUGCAUUAAAAAAAAAAAAAGUUGCAAGUGACUCAUACAGUAAA